UGCUCGAGUGGCGAACGGGUGAGUAACACGUGGGUGAUCUGCCCUGCACUUUGGGAUAAGCCUGGGAAACUGGGUCUAAUACCGGAUAGGACCACGGUCUGCAUGGAUUGUGGUGGAAAGCUUUUGCGGUGUGGGAUGGGCCCGCGGCCUAUCAGCUUGUUGGUGGGGUGAUGGCCUACCAAGGCGACGACGGGUAGCCGGCCUGAGAGGGUGACCGGCCACACUGGGACUGAGAUACGGCCCAGACUCCUACGGGAGGCAGCAGUGGGGAAUAUUGCACAAUGGGCGCAAGCCUGAUGCAGCGACGCCGCGUGAGGGAUGACGGCCUUCGGGUUGUAAACCUCUUUCAGCACAGACGAAGCGCAAGUGACGGUAUGUGCAGAAGAAGGACCGGCCAACUACGUGCCAGCAGCCGCGGUAAUACGUAGGGUCCGAGCGUUGUCCGGAAUUACUGGGCGUAAAGAGCUCGUAGGUGGUUUGUCGCGUUGUUCGUGAAAACUCACAGCUUAACUGUGGGCGUGCGGGCGAUACGGGCAGACUGGAGUACUGCAGGGGAGACUGGAAUUCCUGGUGUAGCGGUGGAAUGCGCAGAUAUCAGGAGGAACACCGGUGGCGAAGGCGGGUCUCUGGGCAGUAACUGACGCUGAGGAGCGAAAGCGUGGGGAGCGAACAGGAUUAGAUACCCUGGUAGUCCACGCCGUAAACGGUGGGUACUAGGUGUGGGUUUCCUUCCUUGGGAUCCGUGCCGUAGCUAACGCAUUAAGUACCCCGCCUGGGGAGUACGGCCGCAAGGCUAAAACUCAAAGGAAUUGACGGGGGCCCGCACAAGCGGCGGAGCAUGUGGAUUAAUUCGAUGCAACGCGAAGAACCUUACCUGGGUUUGACAUGCACAGGACGCCGGCAGAGAUGUCGGUUCCCUUGUGGCCUGUGUGCAGGUGGUGCAUGGCUGUCGUCAGCUCGUGUCGUGAGAUGUUGGGUUAAGUCCCGCAACGAGCGCAACCCUUGUCUCAUGUUGCCAGCACGUAAUGGUGGGGACUCGUGAGAGACUGCCGGGGUCAACUCGGAGGAAGGUGGGGAUGACGUCAAGUCAUCAUGCCCCUUAUGUCCAGGGCUUCACACAUGCUACAAUGGCCGGUACAAAGGGCUGCGAUGCCGUGAGGUGGAGCGAAUCCUUUCAAAGCCGGUCUCAGUUCGGAUCGGGGUCUGCAACUCGACCCCGUGAAGUCGGAGUCGCUAGUAAUCGCAGAUCAGCAACGCUGCGGUGAAUACGUUCCCGGGCCUUGUACACACCGCCCGUCACGUCAUGAAAGUCGGUAACACCCGAAGCCGGUGGCCUAACCCCUUGUGGGAGGGAGCCGUC
rnacentral:rRNA from 1 species